UACGUAGGGGGCAAGCGUUGUCCGGAAUCAUUGGGCGUAAAGCGCGUGUAGGCGGCCCGGUAAGUCCGCUGUGAAAGUCGGGGGCUCAACCCUCGAAUGCCGGUGGAUACUGUCGGGCUAGAGUGCGGAAGAGGCGAGUGGAAUUCCUGGUGUAGCGGUGAAAUGCGCAGAUAUCAGGAAGAACACCAAUGGCGAAGGCAGCUCUCUGGGACGGUACUGACGCUGAGACGCGAAAGCGUGGGGAGCGAACAGG
rnacentral:rRNA from 1 species